rnacentral:rRNA from 1 species
UACGUAGGGGGCAAGCGUUAAUCGGAAUUACUGGGCGUAAAGCGUGCGCAGGCGGUUUGUUAAGACAGAUGUGAAAUCCCCGGGCUUAACCUGGGAACUGCAUUUGUGACUGGCAAGCUAGAGUAUGGCAGAGGGGGGUAGAAUUCCACGUGUAGCAGUGAAAUGCGUAGAGAUGUGGAGGAAUACCGAUGGCGAAGGCAGCCCCCUGGGCCAAUACUGACGCUCAUGCACGAAAGCGUGGGGAGCAAACAGG